rnacentral:rRNA from 1 species
GACGAACGCUGGCGGCGUGCCUAAUACAUGCAAGUAGAACGCACAGUUUAUACCGUAGCUUGCUACACCAUAGACUGUGAGUUGCGAACGGGUGAGUAACGCGUAGGUAACCUGCCUGGUAGCGGGGGAUAACUAUUGGAAACGAUAGCUAAUACCGCAUAAUAUUAAUUAUUGCAUGAUAACUAAUUGAAAGGUGCAAUUGCACCACUACCAGAUGGACCUGCGUUGUAUUAGCUAGUAGGUGAGGUAACGGCUCACCUAGGCGACGAUACAUAGCCGACCGGAGAGGGUGAUCGGCCACACUGGGACUGAGACACGGCCCAGACUCCUACGGGAGGCAGCAGUAGGGAAUCUUCGGCAAUGGACGAAAGUCUGACCGAGCAACGCCGCGUGAGUGAAGAAGGUUUUCGGAUCGUAAAGCUCUGUUGUAAGAGAAGAACGGGUGUGAGAGUGGAAAGUUCACACUGUGACGGUAUCUUACCAGAAAGGGACGGCUAACUACGUG